AGUGAACGCUGGCGGUAGGCCUAACACAUGCAAGUCGAACGGCAGCACAGUAAGAGCUUGCUCUUACGGGUGGCGAGUGGCGGACGGGUGAGGAAUACAUCGGAAUCUACUUUUUCGUGGGGGGAUACCUUAGGGAACUUUACGUUAUUCCCCCUUCCGACUUACGGUUGAAACCAGGGGUUUUUCGACCUUUGCCCGUUUGAUUGGCCCGAUGUCGGAUUAGCUAGUUGGCGGGGUAAAGGCCCACCAAGGCGACGAUCCGUAGCUGGUCUGAGAGGAUGAUCAGCCACACUGGAACUGAGACACGGUCCAGACUCCUACGGGAGGCAGCAGUGGGGAAUAUUGGACAAUGGGCGCAAGCCUGAUCCAGCCAUACCGCGUGGGUGAAGAAGGCCUUCGGGUUGUAAAGCCCUUUUGUUGGGAAAGAAAAGCAGCAGGUUAAUACCCCGCUGUUCUGACGGUACCCAAAGAAUAAGCACCGGCUAACUUCGUG
rnacentral:rRNA from 1 species